rfam:Caldibacillus debilis strain B4135 NODE_227, whole genome shotgun sequence.
ACGAUGUUCCGCUGCCGCUGUUUUUGCCGCAUGAACAUCUG